rnacentral:rRNA from 1 species
UACGGGGGGAGCAAGCGUUGUUCGGAUUUACUGGGCGUAAAGGGCGCGUAGGCGGCGCCGCAAGUCGACUGUGAAAUCUCCGGGCUUAACCCGGAAAGGUCAGCCGAUACUGCGGGGCUAGAGUGCAGAAGGGGCAACUGGAAUUCUCGGUGUAGCGGUGAAAUGCGUAGAUAUCGAGAGGAACACCUGCGGCGAAGGCGGGUUGCUGGGCUGACACUGACGCUGAUGCACGAAAGCAUGGGGAUCAAACAGG